rnacentral:piRNA from 1 species
UAACUGAGAUGCUGAGACCAUGGAGUAC